AUAAGAUCUAUAAACUAGUAGUGUCUAAACUAAGAGAUAACUAAAAUCUAACUGUAAGAUACAUGUAAAAGAUCACUAAAAACUAAAACAAAAUAUAUGUUUAAAACUAAUCUAGACUAAUAAAAUUGCCCAUAAAUAUUUCAUGUCCUCAAUUGUGGAUCAAAUGGCAAAAGACAGAACAUAACAAGAGCACUGAGCAUUCAUUUAACAGUGGGAACUUAAAAUUACACAUUGCAUUGUAUUAAGCAUUGUUUAGAGGCACUGAGCACUAAGUAUUACAUUGGAGAGAGACAUUGAG
rnacentral:lncRNA from 1 species